rnacentral:rRNA from 1 species
AUGAACGCUGGCGGCGUGCUUAACACAUGCAAGUCGAACGGAAAGGCCCAAGCUUGCUUGGGUACUCGAGUGGCGAACGGGUGAGUAACACGUGGGUGAUCUGCCCUGCACUUCGGGAUAAGCCUGGGAAACUGGGUCUAAUACCGGAUAGGACCACUUCUUGGAUGUUGUGGUGGAAAGUUUUUUCGGUGUGGGAUGAGCUCGCGGCCUAUCAGCUUGUUGGUGGGGUAAUGGCCUACCAAGGCGUCGACGGGUAGCCGGCCUGAGAGGGUGUACGGCCACAUUGGGACUGAGAUACGGCCCAGACUCCUACGGGAGGCAGCAGUGGGGAAUAUUGCACAAUGGGCGCAAGCCUGAUGCAGCGACGCCGCGUGGGGGAUGACGGCCUUCGGGUUGUAAACUCCUUUCGCUAGGGACGAAGCGUUUUUGUGACGGUACCUGGAGAAGAAGCACCGGCUAACUACGU